AAAAAGCCUAAAAAAUUUGCACCCAUUUGGUAAAAAUUCCUCCUUCUUCCCCCACACGAGGAGAAUGGGGGCAGGGAAAGGGGCUGUUUGGUUCUCCAACGCGGUGGCGUUAGUAGCAAUCGCGGUGGUAGCUUGCCAUUCCCAACCUUCGGCGACGUUCAAGUGCAGCAGCGCGAACAAACCCACGUGUCGUCCCCUGAUUAGCUACUCUAACCCGAACACCACCACCCUCGGCGACAUUCAAAAGCUCUUCAACGUAAAACACAUCAUGGACAUCGUGGGAGCGAACAACGCCACAAAAAAAAUAUACGGUGGGCCCCAACGAGGUUGUGAAGGUUCCUUUCCCGUGCAGGUGCAGCAACAACACGGGAUAUCGUCACGACGACGUUUGCGGGUCUGAUGAAGUGGCCGCAGAUCCAGAUGGCGAAUAACAUUUGAAUAAUUCUCUCGAUAAAGAAAUAUUUGGUACAAUCCAAUCCGAGCAGCGUGGACCUUUGUCUAAUAGCCAAGUGAGAUAGAUGAUAGCUAUGUAUCAUGUAUGAAUAUGUUGGAGUGAUUGAAUUUGUUCCUCGAAUGUGAAAAAAUGGUUCAUUGGACUAUCCCUUGCUUGUCCCAAAUGCUACUUACGAAUGCGUCAAAUGCAAAUUACAAUGUGAGCCAUCCCAACUCAAAUCAACCAACUGGUCUUCUUGGCCCUCUCUGGAGUGCUCAAGCAACGUCAUUCCCUCCACAGAUUCCUGCAAUCGCACAACCUGCGCCUAUACCGGUUAUUAUACCUUCCGCAAUAUCUCAGCAGAAGUUGUAACAGAGAACACCACUUGUGCUGUGCCACCGAGUGGUUCAGGAGGAUCAACUGGUUCUGAUUCAGGAGCGUCGAGGAGCACCUUCCAAGGCUUGCUUUUGAGUAAUCUUUUGAUUGUCAUUCACUUUGUCCUCUUUCUUGUCUAUGUUUUGUAGUAAAAAAAAAUACCCUACACUUCUGCAGCCAUUGUUUUUAAUAGAUUAGUCCACUCUGUAAUUUGCUGAGUUCAGAUAGAUUGUUUUGUGUAUUGAGUGUUGCAACAGCUGAACCUUUUAUGUUUUUCCUUUGCAAUCUUUGUAUCUUCAAUAAAUAAAUAUGUUCCGAAGAAUAAAAGUGAUAUCUAAACUAUUUUAAUGUGAUUAAAAUAGUUCAGAUAUGUUUUUCCUGUUA